CCAGACAGUUGUUUUUAUAUAGCUUAUAUUCACGUCUGCCUGCGGAGUCCCUCUGUACUGGAUCAGCACCAGAGCAGCCAUGAACAUCAACACCAGUUUCAGUAGUCACUCGCCGGAUUAUGAAGAGGAUUGUGUCAGGAUGAGCAUCCAGAAUAAAACUCUCUGCCAAACCUGUGCAGAUCAGUGAAAGCUGAUUCACUGUGGUGAUCCAUGCUGGACAGGCUAAAGGGUGAACGACAACAGAGUUCACAUCAUAGCUGGUGAUGGCAAGAUGUUCACCAUCUCUGGUCUCACCUGCUGCUGCCAGGUGGAGACUCUGUGCUGAUGCUGGGGGAGGAGCUUCUGUUGCUGGGGGCAGAGCUUCUGUCGCUGCAGGACUUGCAGCACAUCUGCCGGUAUCCGGGGAUGGCGCAGUACCGACUCAACACUUCCAUACGACAGAAGGCAGAGCGAUCACCAUGGCAACGCUGCCCUGCAACAGCGGAAGUAUUUCAGUGAAGAGGCUUUCAUUUUGUGGGGGACACAAGCUUUUCUGUCAUCAUCUAUGAAGUGUCUCCUGAAGUAUUAAAGCAGAUUUACUACAAGAGCUGGAUCCUCAGAUCCUAAUGAACUGUCUUCAUCAGAAAGCCAUUUUCAAACUCAGAUCAUCUGAAGGAGAGACGGAGCAGGAGGAUGAAGGAGAGGACUCUCCAGCAUAAAGGAAGCCCAGAAGCUUCAGGACCUGCUUAGGGGCUUUCAGCUGCUCCUACACAGGACAUGUGGAGUCCCUCUGAACUCCUGGAUCAGAAGAUGUCGCGCUCCUUUGGGGAUCUCCAGGAUCUUCAGACUCCACAGCGAUCUUCCUCCUGGUCUGAGGCGAUCUGUCCAUCACAGCCCACAUGCUGAGGAAGGGGGAACAUGGAGCAGAGAAGGGAUGUAGACUUCAGAAACUCAUGAAAAUGUCAAACCCAUUCUGACAAUGACC